UACGUAGGGUGCAAGCGUUGUCCGGAAUUAUUGGGCGUAAAGAGCUCGUAGGCGGUUUGUCGCGUCUGCUGUGAAAUCCCAGGGCUUAACCCUGGGCCUGCAGUGGGUACGGGCAAACUAGAGUGCGGUAGGGGAUAUCGGAAUUCCUGGUGUAGCGGUGAAAUGCGCAGAUAUCAGGAGGAACACCGGUGGCGAAGGCGGCCAUCUGGACCAGCACUGACACUGAGGCACGAAAGCGUGGGGAGCAAACAGG
rnacentral:rRNA from 1 species